AUACUUAUUUGUUUCAGGCCCUGAAAAUACAAGGUAAUCAUUCUGAAGCAGUUGCUGAACUAUUAAAGAUAUGCCUCAUUCACAAGAUAUUUCCUCCUGAAGAGAGCUCGGCUGAGAUGGAAAUGGUUGCCCGAGGACUUGAAAAGCAGUUAAAUGUGGAUCAAAGAGAACUUUUGUUAAACAUGCUCAUUAGGACAUGUGGUGAAGGGACACGUAGAAGCAUGACUGAAGCUCUGGGUCUGAUACAACCACCUCAGAGUGAUGUUGAACAAGAAAAGAGGGUUUCUUAAGUUGCACAGGACAUUUUACAGCAGCUUCAAUCAAGCCUUGACGCUCGAAAAAUACAUAUUGUGUAUAUCAAUUAGUUAUUGUCUCCUCUUUGUUGCUUUAUUAAUAUUACAUUCCAUCAACAACUAUGAUGCAUACAUAUUUGACAAGCUUUUUGUCCAGUCUUGUGGAAUUCCAAGUUGCUCGCCUACUUUCAUUUCC